rnacentral:rRNA from 1 species
GAGCACGUAGGUGGGUUUGUAAGUCAGAUGUGAAUGCCUUCUGUUCAACGGAAGAAUUGCAUCUGAAACUGCGAGUCUUGAGUGUAGGAGGGGAGAAUGGAACUUCUGGUGGAGCGGUGAAAUGCGUAGAUAUCAGAAGGAACUCCGGCGGCGAAAGCGAUUCUCUGGCCUAUUACUGACACUCAGUGCGCGAAAGCUAGGGGAGCAAACGGGAUUAGAUACCCCGGUAGUCCUAGCCGUAAACGAUGGGCACUAAGUAGAGGGGUUUU